UGAACGCUGGCGGCAGGCCUACCACAUGCAAGUCGAGCGGAUGAAGGGAGCUUGCUCCUGGAUUCAGCGGCGGACGGGUGAGUAAUGCCUAGGAAUCUGCCUGGUAGUGGGGGAUAACGUCCGGAAACGGGCGCUAAUACCGCAUACGUCCUGAGGGAGAAAGUGGGGGAUCUUCGGACCUCACGCUAUCAGGUGAGCCUAGGUCGGAUUAGCUAGUUGGUGGGGUAAAGGCCUACCAAGGCGACGAUCCGUAACUGGUCUGAGAGGAUGAUCAGUCACACUGGAACUGAGACACGGUCCAGACUCCUACGGGAGGCAGCAGUGGGGAAUAUUGGACAAUGGGCGAAAGCCUGAUCCAGCCAUGCCGCGUGUGUGAAGAAGGUCUUCGGAUUGUAAAGCACUUUAAGUUGGGAGGAAGGGCAGUAAGUUAAUACCUUGCUGUUUUGACGUUACCAACAGAAUAAGCACCGGCUAACUUCGUG
rnacentral:rRNA from 1 species